rnacentral:lncRNA from 1 species
CUCCACCUCGCGGAUCAUGCUCCACCGACCUAAGGGAUUAAGGAAAACCGUGCGAUUAAUGUCGGUUUGAUCCAACAGCCCAUAUUCAUUUGGAAGAACUAUAUAAGUAGACCCCCUGUCCCCUAGAGGAGAGCACAUCUGAGACCCUAAUUCAUUUAUCCAUCUCGGGAGAAGAAGCCUCUUAUCAAGCCCUAGAGCCAC